rnacentral:miRNA from 1 species
UGUUUCCAAUAUCGAAGACAGU